rnacentral:lncRNA from 1 species
UGCCGCUGGGAUGAUGAGCAGCCCCAGGCAGGUGGCCACGGACAGCCAGGCAGCGUUGAUGGAGGUGGGCAGCUGCAGCAAGAGCGGGGCGGGGGUCGCCGACCAUGUAAGGUAAGGAUAGCCGUAACAUGUGUAUAAGUUUAAGGGGGGAUUACAUUCAUGAUUACUUAAGGGAGUGGUAGACGGUAGACCAUCUUGCGGAACAUGAAGCGUUACGGGGAGGGCGAUGAAGCGGGAUAGGCAAUGUCGCUUGCCAAAAAGACAGCGCGGAGCAGACAGUGUCUCAACGCAUGCAGGGCUGCCUGGCCACGCGAGCCGCCGACACAGGCACCGCAUAAGCGCACAAGGUGCCGGCCUGCGCCCCGCCCAGCCGCAGCCGCCCCUGCGCACCUUGUAGAAGAUGUAGGCCAGGGCCGGUGUGCCCGGAUAGCCGCGCAUGCGAAGGUCCUGAACAGGCGAGGGAGGGAGGAGGGAGGAGUGCAGGCAUCACGCGCAGCCAGCGAGCCGCACGUGCAAACAACGUCGCACCACGGCUGCAAUCCUCACGCCUGCUUCACUCGAUGUAUUCAAAGCUGCAUCCCAGAGCGUGCGCGCGACGAUUGCACAACUUAUGCAGUGCCGCCACCCCACCACUGAACUUACCCCCUCCGCCCUCCAUCCCUAAUGUCCAUUCCGUCUUCCGUAGCGGCCUGCCCCCAGCGGCCAGCCCCAUCUGCCGCCCCCUCCCAAAGCUGCCGCCCCCAACACCACACCUUCCCCAUCUUCCGCCCCCAGCCCCCCGCCCCCCCCCCGCCAGCCCCCAUCUUCCGCCCCCAUCCCCCAUCCCCCCGCCCCCCGCCCCCCGCGCACCUCGGCGGUGCCGUUCAGCCGGCCCAUGGUGACCACGAAGCUGGCCAGCGCCCCCACCAGGCAGGCGAACGCAAAGUACAUGCCCACCAGGCUCUGCUGCACGAACACGAUCUGCCACAGGUCCUGAAACAGCCACCCGGCCUGCCAGCCGUAGCCUGCACCGCAGCCAAGGGGAAGAGGGCGGCGCGGCGCGGCGCGGAGCGGAGCGGCAGGUGGGUUGGGGAGCGCCGUACAGCGCAUAUGGCAGCAUGGAUGGAGCAGCGCCCUUAAUUGGGCGUGCAUGCGCCCUGACCGCCCGCUGGCACCGCCCCCCCCCAAAACUGACAAACAACACAACACACCGCCCUAGGCCCUUCCCCUCCAGCCAGCACCCCGCUUCCCUUCGCUGCCGCUGCCGCCCCUACCUCCCUCCCAAACCUGUGCCUCCCACUCCCAGACCUGUGUCCCCACCGAGCGCGCAGCCCACCCACCCACCCACCCCGCACUCACCCACUCUCAGCACCACAUUGGUCUUCCAGCCGCCCUCGCGGUAGCCGCUGUUGAGCACCUGGUGUAGCACCCCCAUGCCCUGCAGCGCGAAGAUGACGCCCCAGAUGGAGAACGCCCACCUGCGGGGGAAAGUUACCGUACGGGCACAGGUACGGGUAGGGGCACGGCACAAGCGUUGGUAAAGCUAGGGUAAAGCAGCAAGAUGGGGGGUGGCACAGCUAGGCUGUGGGCUAGGCACGUGUGGUCUGGUGGGCGCCGCGGGCUGUGUGUGUGCGGGUGUGCAGUGUGGGUGUGAGCAGGUGCAGUUGCACGAGCGGCAAGGGCUGUUGGAGCGAGAAGGCAGGCCAGCAGGAGACAUAUGUGUGCCCACUAUUGCUUCAACGCAGCUCCCCUGGGCGGACUCCUGAGCUGGGCCAAUCGAGCGCGCGGCUCGGCUGCUCACCCGGCCGGCGUCAGCGGGGUGGAGUAACGGCCGGACACGACCGCAUUGGUGUCGCCAAACGCGCCCGUGGAGCUGAGCACGUUGACCAGGAUCUGUGAGGACGAGCACGUAGCAUCAGAUCAAUGGACAACGGGUAUUAGAUAGAGCAGGUGGGCGCGGAGCGGAGAUGUUGGGCGCAAGCACGUUGCGUGCCGGAGUGGGAAUGUUGGCGUCACCCCUGUCGGACCGGGGCCAUAAUACCUCCAACCCACACGACGCCCCGCCCCCGUGUUGUGUAGGCGCAACAUUAGGGUGCACUUGGCAAGCUGAUUUCGACUGGCACUCCAAGUAGGGCUUCGGGCUGUCCUAGCUGUCGCGAUGACGCCACACGCACACAUGAAGCUUUUACGACCCCUCUCGCGCUCCGUCGGACCUCAAGCUUACUACGCUCGUGUUUGAGGUCCACGAGCACGGCACCGCGAUAGCACGCAGCUGCUCAAACGAACGCGCGCUGGAACCGGGGAACGCCGCGUUCGCAA